CCUACGGGUGGCAGCAGUGAGGAAUAUUGGUCAAUGGGCGCGAGCCUGAACCAGCCAAGUAGCGUGAAGGAUGACGGCUCUAUGGUUUGUAAACUUCUUUUAUAAGGGAAUAAAGUGAGGAACGUGUUCCUUUUUGUAUGUACCUUAUGAAUAAGCAUCGGCUAACUCCGUGCCAGCAGCCGCGGUAAUACGGAGGAUGCGAGCGUUAUCCGGAUUUAUUGGGUUUAAAGGGUGCGUAGGUGGGUAGUUAAGUCAGUGGUGAAAGUUUGUGGCUCAACCGUAAAAUUGCCCUUGAUACUGGUUGACUUGAGUAUAGUUGAGGUAGGCGGAAUGCGUGGUGUAGCGGUGAAAUGCAUAGAUAUCACGCAGAACUCCGAUUGCGAAGGCAGCUUACUAAACUAUAACUGACACUGAUGCACGAAAGUGUGGGGAUCAAACAGGAUUAGAUACCCCAGUAGUC
rnacentral:rRNA from 1 species